rnacentral:lncRNA from 1 species
AAAGGAAUCGUCCUCCCUCAUGUUAAACGGCACCAACCGCCUCUGAUGCUGACCUUAUACUUCACAGAGAGAAUGUUGUUUCAUAAAUGAAUGAUUCACUCUAGCUAAUCAGUAGUUAGAAAUACAGUCAAAUACUUGGCCUCCAGAAGCAUAUCGUCCCUCCUAUAUGUAGUUAUCUGUAUACAGGAUGUUCUUGCCCUCAAUAAUCACAUCGUAAAUCAAAGUGAGAAAGACAGAAGGUUUCAUAAGAGGAGAGGACAGAGAAUGUGAGGAUUGUAGAGGUUGUUGGAGAGGUUAUAUUUCACCGGCGUUAUUUAAUGAAAAGUCUGUUUCUGUUUGCUGUAGCGGAGGUGAGAAUGCACAGUGGUGAGUUAACAGGUUAGUGAAACAUUAGCUGAUGUUUGGCUAGCAGGUCAGAGAUCUCAGGUGAGAGGUAGCAGGGUGGUAGCUGAUGUUUGGCUAGCAGGGUGGUAGCUGAUGUUUGGCUAGCAGGGUGGUAGCUGAUGUUUGGCUAGCAGGGUGGUAGCUGAUGUUUAACUAGCAGGGUGGUAGGCUGAUGUUUAGCUAGCAGGGUGGUAGCUGAUGUUUAGCUAGCAGGUCAGAGAUCUCAGGUGAGAGGUAGCAGGGUGGUAGCUGAUGUUUAGCUAGCAGGGUGGUAGCUGAUGUUUGGCUAGCAGGGUGGUAGCUGAUGUUUAGCUAGCAGGGUGGUAGGCUGAUGUUUAGCUAGCAGGGUGGUAGCUGAUGUUUAGCUAGCAGGGUGGUAGCUGAUGUUUAGCUAGCAGGUCAGAGAUCUCAGGUGAGAGGUAGCAGGGUGGUAGCUGAUGUUUGGCUAGCAGGGUGGUAGCUGAUGUUUGGCUAGCAGGUCAGAGAGCUCAGGUGAGAGGUAGCAGGGUGGUAGCUGAAGAUGGAACCUCAGACUUCACAGGCAUCUUGGACUUAACCUAGCCAGCUGGGACUAGUCUGGACCACCUGUUUGGGUUUGGAGUAGUAACUUGGACUUAACCUAGCCAGCUGGGACUGGUCUAGACCACCUGUUUGGGUUUGGGGUAGUAACUUGGACUUAACCUAGCCAGCUGGGACUGGUCUAGACCACCUGUUUGGGUGUGGAGUAGUAACUUGGGCCUAGCCAGCUGGGACUAGUCUGGACCACCUGUUUGGGUUUGGAGUAGUAACUUGGACUUAACCUAGCCAGCUGGGACUGGUCUGGACCACCUGUUUGGGUUUGGAGUAGUAACUUGGACUUAACCUAGCCGGCUGGGACUGGUCUAGUAGUAAGGUUUGAGAUCACGGAGUUAACCCCACUCUUCUGAGUUAAAUAACUGGCAUUGGGAAGACCCCUACAUCAUGUGUUAUGUGACUUGUCCUGAUUCCAGGUCUCUCUUUACUGCUGGGUGUGUGGUGUGGACAGCGACACCCUACCUGUCUGUCUACGUUGUGUGUGACUCAGGAAGUGUGAACGUCAUGCGUCAGUGUGCAGGUACAGAUAGAGGAGGAGUGUUUAGUAAGUCAUCUGAUAGACUAAAUGGUUUACACUGGUUAUGGAGUGGAGCUCUGCCCUGAGACAGACAUACUUUACACUGGUUAUGGAGUGGAGCUCUGCCCUGAGACAGACAUACUUUACACUGGUUAUGGAGUGGAGCUCUGCCCUGAGAC